CCCCAGUGAGGAAACAAAUCACACGUCUUACCUCUGUCCUAGCCCUAGAACCUGAAAAGAUGAACCCACUGGGGCUGGCUGGGGGAGGAGAGGAGAACUUGUUCCAGAAGGAACUGUCUGAGGGGG
rnacentral:snoRNA from 15 species